rnacentral:rRNA from 1 species
UACGAAGGGUGCAAGCGUUACUCGGAAUUACUGGGCGUAAAGCGUGCGUAGGUGGUGAGUUAAGUCUGUCGUGAAAGCCCCGGGCUCAACCUGGGAAUGGCCUCCGAUACUGCCGUGCUUGAGGACUGGAGAGGAGUCUGGAAUUCACAGUGGAGCAGUGAAAUGCGUAGAUAUUGUGAGGAACACUAGUGGCGAAGGCGAGACUCUGGACAGUUCCUGACGCUGAGGCACGAAGGCCAGGGAGCAAACAGG